UUCUCUUCAAACCCUAAAUUGAAAUCACAGAAACCCUAGUGAAACUAUUAGCCAAGAAAAGCUUAGAUUUGUAUUAGGAGUGAACUGAAAUCACGAUUCUCACGAUUAUUCUCAAAAAUCUCUUGUUUGUUCAUCAUUUUUUAGAUCUGUAUUAAGGUUUCAAAAUAUGUUCAUCUGAAAUAGAAAAGAUAAACCCUAGAAACCCAGUAAAAAAAAUCUGUAAUCGUAUUUUUCAGAUUUGUAAUCGAAUUGAUCCAUUGAAGUAAAUAGGUUUGUGAUGAGAAUGAUGUUGAAAUUUUUACUUCCAAGUGUGGCCGGUAGUAGUGUUGGUAUUUAAGGCUUGGUGUUCUCUGGUGGAGUUGCAACAGCUUCAGGGGGAGGUGGUUAUGUAGGGGGUUAAGUAGAUUCAGAAGCAUAGGUUAACACAAUGUCUGGCAUCGAUGGACUUACCAAUCAAAACCCUAACAAAUCAUAUGAGGUUGUUCAACCACCUACAGAUUCUAUAUAAAUUCAAUGUUUUAGUUCUAAAGGAAAUUAUAUUGUUGCUACUUCAUGGGAUAAUCAGGUUUAUUUUGGUUUUUCGAUUUAAAUUACCCUUAAGUUUUAAUGUCUGUGUGGUUUUGUUAAAUAAUGAACGAGUGAAGGCUCAAAUUUGGGCUGUAUUGAUGGAAAUUACAUGUUAGAUGUUGGGAAAUACAAAGAAUAAUAACUAAUACAGGAAGUGUUGCAAAAGCAACAAUAGUUGAUGCCCAACUGGUAGUGACAUUUUGACUAUUUUGUUGCUUGCUUUCUUGGUUGAAAUGUUGCUUUAAUGUGUUGAAUGGUGGUAUAUUUAUCUGGUUUAGGUUUUGUGUGCGUCUUGGAAAGAUGAUGGAAUGACUGUUUUCUUGGAAGGGUGUGAUAAACAAGUAAAGAUAUGGCCUUUGACAUCUGGUGGUCAGCCUGUGACUGUUGUUAUACAUGAUGCUGAACCAUAAAACAGUUGCUUGGAUACCAGAGAUGAAUCUUUUGGCUACAGUAAGCUGGGAUAAGGUUAUCAAGUACUAGGACCUUAGGCAGCAAACGCAAAUCCAUACACAACAGCUUCCAGAAUGUUGUUACUCACUCUCUGUCAAGUAUCCUCUAAUGGUUGUUGGAACAGCAGAUAGAAGAAAUAUGAUUGUUUUUAACCUACGCAACUCUCAGAGAAGGAUUUGGUUACCUGCUAGGAGAUCCAAUCCUAAGAACGACGGCGCAAGGGUAUUUUUGGCUAAUAAACAUUUUUGGAAAAAAUUGGCUCGAAAAGUUGUCGGAAAGCACCC